rnacentral:rRNA from 1 species
GUGGGGAAUAUUGGACAAUGGGCGCAAGCCUGAUCCAGCCAUGUCGCGUGUGUGAAGAAGGCCUUCGGGUUGUAAAGCACUUUUGUCCGGGAAGAAAUCUUCCAGGUUAAUACCCUGGGAGGCUGACGGUACCGGAAGAAUAAGCACCGGCUAACUUCGUGCCAGCAGCCGCGGUAAUACGAAGGGUGCAAGCGUUACUCGGAAUUACUGGGCGUAAAGCGUGCGUAGGUGGUUCGUUAAGUCUGCCGUGAAAGCCCCGGGCUCAACCUGGGAAUGGCGGUGGAUACUGGCGGGCUAGAGUGCGGGAGAGGGUGGUGGAAUUCCCGGUGUAGCAGUGAAAUGCGUAGAGAUCGGGAGGAACAUCUGUGGCGAAGGCGGCCACCUGGACCAGCACUGACACUGAGGCACGAAAGCGUGGGGAGCAAACAGGAUUAGAAACCCUGGUAGUCC